CCAGUGGUGGCUUGGCGGGUAAGACUCUGCGAAGAAAAGAAUUUCACUGUGCUAUGACCAAUAAAGACUCGUUAUCAUUAUCAUUAUGAAUCAGCCACCAACACUUUCCUCUCUUGACUGUUUUCAUUUACUGACUUGAUCUGCCCUCUAUCUUGCCUGCCUCUUGGCUGUCAGAUGUGUUAAGCAGUAAUGAGAGAGAAUUAAGAACAGCUGAUAGAAAGUAGAGGAAAUCCAAAUUCGAGGCUCUUCUCUCAAUACCAUUCUCAUCUAUCAAAGCUGAUGUGACAGCUGCUAAGACAUCCCUUCUACAAGGGAAAGCUGGAAUAUUCUUCACAAGCUUCUUUUAUAUGAUCAACACAAGCUUCUUUUAUAUCUCUGCACUUCUACUAUCUACCUCCUUCUAUAUCCUCUGUUGAUGACUAUUGAUGACUAUGGCUUCUUUUUUAACACGAAAAUUAGAGCAAACUGCCAGUUCUUUACUACUACCCUGAUACCUACAGUUCUCAAUAUAUUUUCUUAUCACAAUUUUCUGCUCAUUCUACAAAAGAGAACCUGUGGAUUAUGUUGUCCAGCAAUCUCACCAUCUGCCUGCUCGAAUCCAUCUCCUUCCACAAUGCUUCAGACUAUAUCAGAAAGCCUCCUCCCCUUCAACUCUAUAACAUGUGGACAUAACAUGGACUGACUAGAUAGAAAGGGUUAUUCCUAUCUUGAAGAAGGAACCUACAAGAUGCUAAACAGUCUUGCUUCAAAAUGGUACACUAAACAGAAACUGACUUUGUAGCUUCAUGCUUCUAGAUCAGCCAAACUGUCAUCAGUCCUCAUCCUCCUAGACCAAUCAUCAGACACAGUCAAUUACAAGACUCUCUGAUCAUAAGUUUUGGAAUUUGUGGCACAGUGUGGUGGUGGCUUGCUCCUUACCUAAAGAGAUGGUCAUAACAGAUGACAUGGAGGGGAUCCACAUCUACCCACAUCUGUUCCUGUCCUCUUCUGUUCUCUCUCCUACUCUGUGAGAUCAUAUCUUCACAUCGGCUGAUGAGACUCAACUCACCACCUCCUUUCAUCACUCAUGUUUUGCUCAGAUCUCAACAUGUCUGGCAGACAUCAUGGAUAGUAGUUCAACAGCUGAAACUAAAUCUCAGCAAGACUGAGCUGCUGUAUGUUUCUGGUGUCCUGACACCACCCAGAUGGUGUCAGAACAUGAGAAAUACCCCUUCAGAUGAUUCAGAAUGCCGCAGCAUGCCUCGUCUUCAACCAACCCAAAAGGAUCCAUUUCACACCCCUCCUCAUCUCCCUCCACUGGCUUCCUGCAGCUGCCCGUGUCAAAUUCAAGGCCUUGAUGCUCACGUACAAGACCUUGUCUGGAACAGCACCCCCCUACCUCAACACUCUCCUUAAGGCUUACAUUCCCUUACGCAAUCUUCGAUCGGUUAAUGACCAAUGCUUAGUAGUGCCUACUCAAGGUCCCUUUCCAGAACCUUCAAACUAACUGUCCCUCAGUGGUGGAAUGAACUUCCAACUUCAAUACAGACAGCAGAAUCUUUCACUAUCUUCAAAAAACAGCUAAAGACCCAUAUCUUCCGUGAGCAUGUAACUAACCCCUAAAAUGCCAAUCCCACAUUAUCUAAAAAAAAAAAAAAAACAAAUAAAAACUUACUCUGGCUCUUACAACUCUACUCUGCGCACUUUCAAGUUUCUAGAACUCAAUUAUAAAUCUGGCAUGGUAGCACUACUUGUAUUGUUCUCCACUUGAUGUAUCGCUUUGCUUGUAUUUCCUCAUUUCUAUGUCACUUUGGAUAAAAGCGCCUGCUAAAUGAAUAAAUGUAAUGUAAUGUAAUGUAAGUUCUCUGGAUUUACAACUAAAUGUUGUAAACAUACAGUCAGGUCCAUAAGUAUUUGGACAAUGACACAUUUUUUGUCCUUUUGCUUCUAUACGCCACCACAAUGGAUUUGAAAUGAAGCAAUCAAGAUGUGAUUGAAGUGGAGACUUUCCACUUUAAUUGCAGGGGUUACACGAAAAUAUUACAUUAACCGUUUAGGAAUAGAUUCCCUCUGAUAAGUAGUUUCAUGGCAGGUAUGUUUCCUCAUGAUUUUGUGACAAAUUAAGGAGAUAAAAGGUCUGAAGUUGAUUCCAAACUUUGAAUUUGAUCAAGGGAACUCUCAAUAUGCGUCAAAAAGAGCUGAUGAUGGAAGUGAAGGAGGCCAUUGUUAGACUACAAAAACAAAACAGAUCUAUCAGUGGGAUAGCAGAAAUUUUACGAGUGGUCAAAUCAACAACUUGGUACCUUCUUAAAAAGAAGGACUGCACUGGCAACCUCAGCAGCACCAAAAGGCAUGGAAGGCCAUAGAAGACUAAACUAAAGUAGAUGACCACAGAAUUGUUUCCUUGUUGAAGAAAAACCCCUUCACAACCAAGUCAAGAACAGUCUGGAGGAGGUAGGUGUAAAAUUGUCAAAGUCUACAAUCAAGAGAUGGGUUCAUGAAUGUAAAUACCACUGGUAACACUCAAGAACAGAAAGGUCAGAUUAGACUUUGCUAGAAAUAUCUUUAAAAAAAAUAAACAAAAUUCCAGCCCAGUUCUAGAACAAGAUUCUUUGGACAGAUGAAACAAAGAAUAACUUGUACCAGAAUAAUGGUAACAAAGGAGUAUGGAGAAGGAAAGGAAGGGUUCAUGAUCCAAAGCAUACCACAUCAUUUAUCAAACAUAUGGAAGAAGUGUUAUGGCAUGAACAUUUAUGGCUGCCAGUGGAACUGGAUCACUGGUGUUUAUUGAGGACGUGAUUGCUGAAAGAAGUAGCAGGAUGAAUUCUGAAGCAUAUAGAGCGAUACUUUCUGCUCAGAUUCAGUCAAAUGUUGCAAAACUGAUAGGACUGAGCUUCAUAGUACAGAUGGAUAAUGACCCAAAACAUACUGCGAAAGCAACCCAAGGGGUUCUUCAGGCAAAGAAAUGAAAUGUUCUUAAAUGUCUGAUGACCUCGACCCCACUGAGCAUGUUUUUCACUUGCUGAAGACAAAUGUGGCCGCAGUAAAGACCUGGCAAAGCACCUCAAGGGAGGAAACUCAGCAUUUGAUGAUGUCCAUGGGUUCCAGACUUCAGGCAAAGGAUUUCCACCCAAGUAUGAAAAAUAAUCUUAAUAUUUAUGAUUUGUUUGUCCAAUUACUUUUUGUAAAAAAUGACUGUAAUUCCUAAACAGUUAAUGCAAUUGUAACGCUUAUGCUGGGUCAAGAAUGAGGAAGUGGGAGGCAGGCUUGGAAUAACUCAAAAAUGGCUUUCUUUGCAACUUUACUUUCACUUUUCAGCGUUUUAAAUCAUAAACACACACACGGCUCUGCUGGUUGGCUCUCUCUAGAGGUACUCAUCUCUCUCCUUUUUAUCUUCGCCUCCACUCACUGCAACACAGAAAAUUCAUUAGAACAAUUCCCCACAGGUAUUCCUUACCACUCACCUUCUCUGGAUCCAACCCUCCAUUCACAAGCCGGUGCUCAAGCCUGCCCCGCUUCCACAUACCCCCCACCACACGACUCCGGCCGCCAACCCAACCAAAGCCAAUGGAACAACCUCCUUCCAUGAUUUGAGGUGGUUAAGAUGGUAAACCUGCCGUGCCCUGCUUCUGUCCAUUCGCUUUACCUCAUAGUCGACAUUCCCGACCCGCUGUGUGACCUCAAAGUAUCCUUGCCACUUAGUGCAUAAUUUAGAGCUUGACAAGGAUAGCAAGUACAGCAUUUUAUCUCCCGGUGCAAUCUCCCCUAGACGAGUGCCCCUGUUAUACAGCCGGAAUUGUUCUUGUACCUGGUGCAAAUUCUGCUGUGUUAUGUGGCAUAAGUUGUGGCAUUUUGCUCUCAGUUCAAGAACAUAAUGAGUUUCAUUUUUACUUUUAGAAGGUUCCUCCUCCCAAUUGACAUCAAGGACGCCGCAAGGCUUAGCGCCCAUACAAUAAUUAGAACAGGCAAAACCCCAUGGAGGCUUGUAGGACCUCUCAUACUGUAAAUAACAGGGGCUCUAGACACUUAUCCAUAUUCAACGCAUUGACUUACUAAUCAUGUUUUUAAGCAUUUGAUUAGAACGUUUGACCAGCCCAUAUGUCUGUGGAUGGUAAGCGCUGGUGCAAAUAGAUUUAAUUCCCAACAAUUUGUAUAGCUCGCGUAGUGUCUGUGGCAUGAAAGAUGUGCCCUGAUCAGUUAGGAUCUCUUUUGGAAUUCCAACUCAGUGUCUCCACCACUCUCCUUAUUGAGAUGUUACAAAAGGGGACUGCUUCCAAGUAUCGCGUUGUGCAGUCAACUAGAACUAGCACAAAGUGAUGCCCUCCUGCAGUCUGAUCUAAUGGACUGUUGAGGUCAAUACCGAUUCUUUUGAAGGAGACCUCAAUUAAUAGUAGGGUGUGCAAAGGCACUUUUGGGGUGGCUGGUGGAUUCACCAGUAAACAUUCGUGACAUGCUGUGCACCACCUGCAAACAAUGCCCAGAAUACCCAGCCAAUGGAAGUGGGCCAUAAGCCGGUUCAGUUUUUUGUCCUGUCCUAAAUGCCUCAUCAGUGAGUCAUGGUGAACCGCCUGAAAAAUAUACCUUCCUAAUGGCCCUUUAGGUUUUUUUCCUGGGUUUGUGUCCUGCAUCAAUAACUAUAACCUAUACUUAAUAAUCGAAAAGAAGGGAUGAGAGAAUGCAACAUUAGGCUGAAUUUGCAUCAAUUACUCUCACUGGCUCAAAGCCAUGCCUUAGGGUCUUGUCGUGUGACUGCUCCAAGUAGGGGAAUCCCCGCCAAGAGGAGAGGAGCGGGACCCACCUCACUCUCUGUGCCCCCCCAGACGUGGAGCUGACAUUGAUGGCCCCAGCACCACCUCCCCAGCCAAUGCUUUACACAUUCCACACCGUCUCUCACUACUGCAGGACAGAUCCACAAACAUUUUUUUCACUAAUGCUUGAAAUCCUGGCCAAUUCAUCACCAGGUUUUGUGGAUGGGAGAGGCGAGGACUAGAUGUUGCUUCCACUAUAUGUUUUUGCCCUCAGAAUAUGAUGAUGACCGGCACCAGUGUACAUUUGUGAACAUCGCCAUGUACACACCUCACCAUCACCAGCAUCACCAAUGUAUGAUAUGUACCCCCUUUAACACUCACCAGUAUAUGGUACAUCCUGGCUUGAUCCAGGGCAGCCUACAGCAUGUCGUGGAUCCUGACCAAUGCCCCUACCUCCAUCACAUGGCAUUGGUUCUGGAAAUGCCUAGGCUCCCUGCAAUGCCAGCACACCAGCCCAGGCUUUACUCCCACACCUGCAGCCCCAGAUUCAGAAGAGACAGACACAAUGGAGGGGUAAAGCACAGGUUCGGGCAGCUGGUUUUGGGGGUAAUCGGCCCCCAGUUUUGUCAUGCAGGCUUGGGGGAAGGGCAAGAUGGAGGUGAAGAGGUGUAUGAGAGAGAGUGAGAGAGAGAGAGAGAGAGAGAGAAAGAGAGAGAAGAGAGGGGCUCACCUGCCCCCAGAUAUGCUGCUAAGUGUUCCUCUGCCAGCUGGACUGCCUCGACUAAUGACGCUGAACAGUGGCACUGGACCCAGUCUGCUGUCCCCUCCAGCAGUUGGACUGAACUGCUCCAGGACUUACUAUUACUAUGACUACUUCUUUGCCGGCAUGUACCUUUGCCAGCAGCCAUCUUAGGCAGUUUACCCGGAGCAGCUGGGUAAAUGCAAAUGGACAGCCUCGCUCUACGGCUGACCCAUUCCAAUAUCACCCACUUCAGGUCCAGGUACUCCAGCAGUUUCACCAUGGGGAGCUGGGCUUCCCCAGACAGGAGCAGCAGUAAGCGGGCCAUUUGAACAACUCAAUCAACACUUCCAGGUCAUCCUGUGAGCUCAUCUUUGUAAGGGUGAUGUGGACUGGGCCUAUGGUGGCAGGUGGGGCUGCUGCUGCAGUACCUGCAUGCUGGACCAUGCUCUGGAGCACCUGCUUUAUGUUUCAUGGUUUUGAUCUGGUUCUUGUCCUCGGUAAUUGAGUCUUGUGUUAGUCUAGUUUAUCCUGUUUGCUGAUCGCCAAACUAUUGGCCAGUUUUGAUCACGGUAUUGUUUCAUGAUUUGGAUUUGUCUGCCUAUAUCUCCUAUAAUAAAACUCUUAUCUGCAUUUGCAUCCGUCCCCAACUCCAUUAUGUGACAGAAUACUUCGCCGCAACAUGGAAGCAGCAGGAGAGCAAGGAGAGUGUCACGCCAGAGUAGAUGGGGAUGACUGGCCAGCCAUCAUGUCAGGCCAGUUUCCCCAAUGGACUGACAUAGACCUCCCGGAUCCAAAUUAUGGAUUGUGUGACUACCUGAGGCGGUUCCUAUUCCACUGUCAAAUGUACUUUUCAAGUAUGGUGAACCCCAAGCCUGACAAAGGGCAGUGGCUCGGGUUCCUUGUGUCCCGGCUUUAUGGCCCAGCCUAUCAAUGGGAACAGCAUCUGGCCAGUACAGGGUCCAGUGCCCUCACCCAAGUAACUCAGUUUGCAGAACUAUUUUUAAACAAGUUUGGGAAUCCAGGGCAGAACUGCAACCUGGAUGAACUGUUGAGAGGAGUCAGUGUAGCGGUCCAGCAUGAUCUGCCUUUCCACAUUUACUAUGAGUGGAUCGACAGUAUGGCCUCCACAGCUCAGCUUCAGCCCCCAGCCGACAUGGCAAUGGUGGAGGUGACACAGACCUGCAAGACCGAGGGCUGCUAUAAAGAAGCCCAGCUACAAUGUCCCACCUGUAGUAAACAUGGGAUACCUGGAUCACAUUUCUACUCUCAGGACUGUUUCAAGGGCAGCUGGUGUGCCCAAAAACAGCUCCACAAGAAAGCAAGAGCAGAGCUCCCGCCUGAGAUCCACAAGGUGGUCUCACCUGCCGAGCUCCACCUGGAGGUCAACGUGGAGACCUCCUCGCCAGAGUUCCAGCAUGAGACCUAUGAGAUGGUCUCACCGGCUGAACACUCAUCUGAGGUCAAGGUGGCAACCUCAGCUCCAAAGCCCCAGGUGGAGGUCAACAGAGUGACCUCCUCCCCAGAGCUCCAACCUGAGACCCACAAGGUGGUCUCACCUGCCGAGCUCCAGCUGGAGGUCAAUGUGGCAACCUCCUGUCCAGAGUUCCAACCUCAGAACCACAAGGUGGUCACACUUGCUGAACUCCAGUUGGAGGUCAAGGUGACCUCUCAAGCCAAGUUCCUGUCCAAGGUCAAAGACACAGCCUCCCAAGACACGUUCCUGUCUGAGGUCAACAAGACAACCUCUCAAGCCAGGUUCCUAUCUGAAAUCAACGAUGUGACCUCCCACACCACGUUCCAGUCUGAGACCGACAUCACCACCGACCAAGUUAUGCUCACGCCAGAGUCUGUUGUCACAACCAAAUAGGUUCUGCUCACGCCUGAAACCGACAACACGACCAACGAAGUUAUGCUCACACCAGAGUCUGUUAACACAACCAACUAAGUUCUCCUCACACCAGAAACCGACGUCACCACCAUCCGGGUUCUGCUUACGUCUGAAGUCGACGUCACAACCAACCAAGUUAUGCUCACGCCAGAGUCUGUUGAUACGACCAACCAAGUUCUACUUAUGCCUGAACCCAACAUCACAACCAACCAAGUUAUGCUCAUGCCAGAGUCUGUUAACACGACUAACCAAGUUUUCCUCAUGCCUGAAACUGACGUUACGACCAACCAGGUUCUCCUCAUGCCUGAAGUCGACGUCACGACCAACCAAAUUAUGCUCACACCAGAGUCUGUUGAUACUACCAACCAAGUUCUCCUUAGGCCUGAAACGGAUGUCACAACCAACCAGGUUAUGCUCACACCAGAGUCUGUUGACAUGACCAACCAAGAUCUCCUAAUGUCUGAAACCGAUGUCACGACCUUCCAGGUUCUCCUCAUGCCUGAAACCGACGUCAUGACCAACCAGGUUAUGCUCUCGCUAGAGUCAGUUGACACGGCCAACCAAGUUUUCCUUAUGCCCAAAACCGAUGUCACAACCAAAAAGGUUAUGCCCACACCAGAGUCUGUUGACAUGACCAACCAAGAUCUCUUCAUGCCUGAAACCGAUGUCACGACCAACCAGGUUCUCCUCAUGCCUGAAACUGAUAUCAUGACCAACCAGGUUCUGCUCACAGCUGAGGUCAACAUCACAACCACCCAAGUUAUGCUCACGCCAGAGUCAGUUGACAUGGCCAACCAAGUUUUCCUUAUGCCCGAAACCGACGUCACGACCAACUAGGUUCUGCUCACACCUGAAGCCGAUGCCAUGAGCAACCAAGUUCUGCUCACGCCUGAGUCUGCUGACAUAGCCAACCAGGUUCUGCUCACGCCUGAGUCUGUUGACAUGGCCAACCAAGUUCUGCUCAUGUCUGAAGCUGACAACCUGCAGAGAUGAUGGAGGAUGAUGCUCCACCUUCCUGCUCCGCUGAGGACGUCACUCUGCCUUCCUGCUCUGCUGAGAACGUCCCUUCACACUCAAGAAGGGCCAACAAGACGGUCCACCAAGUCAAGCAACUGUCUAAAGCUGACGACACAAUUUCCCAAGCCUGGGUCUUGCCUAAUGACCUCAGCGUACCAGCCCUGGUCUCAUGUCUGCUCCUUGAGGAACCUGUUACUUAUUGGACAAGGCCUGCAUUGGAACCUGAGGGGCUGUGAAGACAUUUUGCCUAGAGGGCCAGGACUGCCGGGGGAGGGAGUGUAUUUUGUGUAUUUACUUUUAUAUCCACUGUAUCUAAGUCCCACUGAGAGAUCUUUGAAGUUUAAUGGUUAACCAUUGUUAUCACACCUCCUCCACAGAUAUAUAAGGUCAAUGGCUUCUAUACAGCAAAGAAUCUGGAGAAUAGCAAAAAUGUACCACAAGAUCAAAUUCCAGCUGGCACAGUUAGAGAUUCUUACAAGGAGGGUUUGGAAACAGAUCACAAAUCCCGCUGAAGGGCAGCUGUUACUUUGCACACGAGGGAAAAGAGGGUGUCCAAUAUUGCUCUUAUUUUAGUCUAAUGCAUAAGAGACACAGAAGUCAAACACACAACAGACUUAAAAGUGCAGAAUCCGUCCAUAUUAAUUUAUGCCACACAUUAUUUGCAUUCAUAUCUGUAACAUUAAAAUAAACAGAUCACUUUGCACAGAAGCUAUAAGAUUUUUUAAAAAAUAAAUAAAUAUUGGAAUUAUACGUUAUUACUCAAAAAUAAAUGGUUUUAAGCUUUUUUUAAUAAUUUUUUUUUCGAUAUGACUCGUCCAUCUGCGAACCCUUCUGUUCUUUAGGUCAUUAACUCAUUGACCCAAUGCACAGGAAAUGGUGUUCUGGAGGCGGUCCUUUUAUAUCACUGUGGAGUAAAAGGUUUAGACUGCCUACACAGAGGAGCUGUGUUGUAAUUUAAAACCUGCUGAAGGCUGCAACUGCCCCAAGCCUUUCACAUACACACACAUACACACUGAGCAGCAGGCUUUGUUCUAGAAUCCGGCUCAACUCUGUGCUCAGAACAGCACACAGCACAGAGAAACCUACACGUUGGACUUACUAAGUGGGUGAAACAUCGACUGUGCUUCCCUGUGAUCAGGGCUGAAUGCUGUACCACCUGAUAUCCCAGAAAAUACUGUGAAAAUGGACCUUGCUUUUAACAACAUAACACAGUUAAGGCCUAAAGAGUUUGUAACCAUCAAAGACUUAAAGCUGUUGAACCUCAGCUGCAAC